CUGCCUUACGCUGGCCAGCAAUAUGGACCAUCGGUGGUGGGCAGGUUUCGUUUCUUGGCUGGAUGGAUGCUGGUGAUAGACCCUAUUCUAGGGGAGAGUAACUACCUCUGCUUGCUGCCAGGUUUUCCUGAAGCCGGGGGUCAUCUCCAGGCUGGAGAAGCAGCGCAACAAGCUGAUAUCCCAGAAAAUGAUCCUCCUUCAGGCGGCUUGCAAGGGCUUCCUCAGCCGGCAGAAAUUCAAGAGGUUGAAGAUUCAGCACCUCGCCAUUCGGUGCAUCCAGAAGAACCUGGUGGUCUUCCAGGCUGUGAGGCACUGGCCCUGGUGGCAGCUGAUGAGCCGUGUGCGGCCCUUACUCAGCAUCAAUGUUGCAGAAGAUCAGCUCCGUGCCAAAGAAAAGGAGCUGGCAGCACUAAGAAGAAAGCUGGAAAAAUCAGAGCAGUCAUGCAACGAGCUCAGGCAGAACUCAGAAAAGCUGGAAAGUAAGGUAAAGCCUGAGAAAUGUCUCUGUGCACACUCGUGGAUCCUCACGUGAGUCCCAUUAGAAAUUGAGCUGCAUCAUGGUAAUUAUGGACAGCAAUACAAGGAGUCGAAUGGGAAUGUCGCCUUGUCACAUGCUGGGUGCAAGAAGGACUGGGCUAAGGCCGUUUGCACCCAUGUCACUGCCUUGCAAUCUGUAUAGAGCAAAUGCUGCAGUUUGGGUUUUCUAGCACCGGGUUUCUACCAGUGCCUCCCCAGCCUUGACUGGUGUCAGACCAGCGAGGCUGGGGAGCUGUUGCUGUGCUAGUAUUUGCACAUGCCUCCACACUCCUUGAAGAGCUGGGUUUUUUUGUUUUUAAUUGCCCAAGAAGGUUACCUAGUGAUUAAUUUUAACAGGUCACAGGCAUGAAAUGUUCCGCUUUGUCUCUGUGUGGGAAGCCAGCAGCUCUUUACUGCUAUCUGCCUGGAGAUCUGAGCUGAGAGGGCUGUUUCUCGGGGAGCAAUCAUUGUUUGCUGCUUGCUGCUGUUUAAGUUGCUCAGCAGUUGUUUCUUUUUAAGGCCUUUUAUGUCAAGGUCCUGCAGCCAGUGCCUGAUGAGAGAUCUCGCGCCUGCUGUACUGUGUGAUUGUGCUCGGAGGAAGCAGUGAUUAGCAAAGGGGUGGGAAAGAGGGAGCUGCAGGAGUCUGAGUUGCCGGCUAAAUCAGUGCAGCUAGAGGUUGAUUCUGCAGGACCCAGGUGGGCUGCGAGGCCUGACCCCCCGGGGCCAGCAUCCCUGCACGGCACCCGAUGGGGCCCUGGCUUGCCAGAGCAGAGGACCACGGCAAGCGAGUUGGCGUCUCCAGAGAGAACCUCAUCUCUCGUCUCCACAAAUCUCCUCUGGCUUUGACACUCCAUGCAUCUGCCCUUGUUCCCCGGCCCUGGUCCCCUCGGCUGUCCCCGGUCCCGGCCCCGUGCUCCUGGCCGCGUCCCCGGGCNNNNNNNNNNNNNNNNNNNNNNNNNNNNNNNNN
rnacentral:lncRNA from 1 species